rfam:Schistosoma curassoni strain Dakar, Senegal genome assembly, scaffold: SCTD_scaffold0006344
AUCCGGCUGACGUGUCCUAAGCAGGACGAAACGCGCGUCCUGGAU